rnacentral:scRNA from 1 species
GCUGGUCCGAGGGCCGUGGUGUUUGCAAUUAAUUGAUCACAGCCAGUUACUGAUAUCU